rnacentral:rRNA from 1 species
AACAUCGCCUCUUGACAAACUUAUAAGAGGUCCAGCCUGCCCAGUGACUCUGUUCAACGGCCGCGGUAUCCUAACCGUGCGAAGGUAGCGUAAUCACUUGUUCUUUAAAUGAGGACUAGUAUGAAUGGCACCACGAAGGUUAUACUGUCUCCUUUUUCUAAUCAGUGAAACUAAUCUUCCCGUGAAGAAACGGGAAUAAAAAUAUAAGACGAGAAGACCCUAUGGAGCUUUAAACAAAUAUACACCUGCCUCUUUACCAAAAAAUUUCAGAAGACAAGUAGUUAUCCAGGCAUUUUGAUAUAGCGUUUUAGGUUGGGGUGACCGCGGAGCAAAAAAUAACCUCCGCAGCGAACGGGAGUAUUCCCUAAACUAAGGGCCACAACCCCAAGUAUUGAUAAAUCAACACUAAUUGACCCAAUAAAUUUGAUCAAUGAACCAAGUUACCCUAGGGAUAACAGCGCAAUCCACUUCAAGAGCUCCUAUCGACAAGUGGGUUUACGACCUCGAUGUUGGAUCAGGGUAUCCCAGUGGUGCAGCCGCUACUAACGGUUCGUUUGUUCAACGAUUAAAACCCUACGUGAUCU